rnacentral:rRNA from 1 species
UACAGAGGGUGCAAGCGUUGAUCGGAAUUACUGGGCGUAAAGCGUGCGUAGACGGUUAUUUAAGUCGGGUGUGAAAGCCCCGGGCUCAACCUGGGAAUUGCAUUCGAGACUGAAUAGCUAGGGUACGGUAGAGGGAAGUGGAAUUUCCGGUGUAGCGGUGAAAUGCGUAGAUAUCGGAAGGAACAUCAGUGGCGAAAGCGACUUCCUGGACCAGUACCGACGUUCAGGCACGAAAGCGUGGGGAGCAAACAGG